rnacentral:snRNA from 1 species
AUUCUUCGGCAGCACAUAUUCUAAAUUUGGCAUGGCCCCUGUACAAGGAUGACACAUAUACUCAUGAAGCAUCCCAUAUUUCU